rnacentral:lncRNA from 1 species
UGAGCUCCUGCCCCUACUACUGAUGCUGGCGCUCCAGCCUAGCUGGCCUUACCUCUCCAUCUAUUUCUGGGAAACUUCAGGAACAGGGUUGGGUUGGCGACCUCAUACGUGGUCAUGAACAAGCCCUUUCCUCUCAAGUGCUGUCCACAGAGGGAUUCUCUCCUGCCUUGCCCCCUGGGUGAAGUCUGCAGUGGAGGGUUUCAAAGUGUCUCACCACCACUUCCUGCUGGUCCCCAGUGCCUAUAAAUAUGCGGAAGCUUCUCUGUGGUCCACGAAUCCCCCCAAAGCACUGAAGCCAAGUGUGUUCUAUGUGGAAGGAGAAGACUCCUUUCUCCUUUGUGCCACAUUUGUCACCUGCCACCAAGUUAGGGCUCCCUGAGCCCCAGUGACUCGAGAUUCUAGUAGUCACAACUCUGCCAGCCUGGGCCUGUGGCUCCUGUAGGGUUCCUAACAGAGACUAGGUGAGAGAUGCGGCACACGGAGGUGAGGAGAAAGGUCACCCACUCAGCUGCAGCAUGGGGUGGGGGAAGCAACAAUAAGGUAAGGAAGGAACCUGCCUUUGCCCCCCGAAAACAUGCAUUUAUUUGGAGGUAAGUGCAGGCUUGCUGAAAGUCAGAGGGAGGGCAAAAUGAUGCUAAAGACAUGCUAGCAGUAAUAGUGAUGCUGGGAGUGUGAAGAAACAGCCAGGAGCUGUGGGGGAAAAGGAUCCAGUGUCUACCAUCCCAGGCCUCCAGGCCCAUUUCAACUCCCUCCUCUCCUGUAAAGCCUUCCCUGCACUCCCACUGCAUGGAACACUAACCCCUUGUAGCAGAUUGGGGCAGGGGCUUGAGAUUGGUGUUUGCUAUUAACAGGUGGGGGAGCUGAGCAAUGCCCAAAUGGAGGAUGGGAUCAAAACUGAGGUUAAGGGGAGCUUUGGGAGGCUGAGGUGGGAGGAUCGCUUGAGGCCAGGAGUUCAAGACCAGCCUGGGCAACACAAGACCCCCAUCUCCCCCCCAAAAAAAAUGGGGUAAGGGAAUAUUUUGAAUGAUUAAUUUUGACUUUAGAUAUUGACUUCAUUCAGAAAGAGACCUCUCAGGCAGCUGGGUAACUCCAGCCCAACUGGAAAUGCUCUUAGAAGGGAGAAAGUAUUGGCAGAACUGAGUCCAAGAUGAGUCCAAUGGGCAGGUCUCUCCAGGCACGUGCAGGGGAGGCUUGGAUGGGAGUCACUGAGUGUGUACAUCAAUGCACGUGCUGAAUGGGCAGGCCAAGAGCCCCAUGAUGGGUGAUGGUAGACACCGGGGCUUUGAGAUGCCCAGGAGUCACCCAAGCACAGCUGGUUGGCAGGCAGCUGGGAUCCUAAGAGGAGAGCCGACAUCCAAAUGCAUAGCAUCACCAUGAUUUCCCUUAAGCACCUCAAGUUCUAGACAUACCAAACUAAACUUCUCAUCUUCUGCCCUCCUGCUCUAUCAGCCUCUCCUCCUUGUGCUCCCAAUUCUGAAUGAGGACAUGCUCUACCCAGUCACCAAAGGCAUUCUAGCUUUCCUCUGAUGUCCUCCCCUCUGCCUCUGAGACCUUUCCCAUUCAUUCCCUCCUCCUCAGUGUCACCACUGCUCUAGUUCAGACCCUAGCCUUUAGCUGAAAUACCACAACAGUGUCCCAAAAGGCCAUCCUAAUUGCAGCAUGUCCAAGUUCCAUUCAGCUGUCAGAUUUCAACCAUGCACAUCUGAACAUUGCCCCGGGCCUGGUGUUGACACUCCAUUCACAUGUGAGGUCCUCAGUGACCUUGCUCCAGCACUCCUCUAAUAUCAGCUCCCUGUUCCCAACCUCCCAUCAUACAACCCCACCCUGAAUCCAUGCUAUUCCACACAACAGUGCCUUUCCCUGGAAUUCCCUCCCUCUCCCUCACCUCAGGAUCCUUCCUCUCAGCUCACAUUACUAGACAAUAUCACUGUAUUACUGCAGUUACUGACAUCUGCUGACUUCUAUCCAGGGUUCAUCCCAUGACCCCUGCCCCGCAGAGAUAACGUGGGCCAGAAAAGGUAAACUGGGAGGGAGUUGACGGUGAUCCUAGUGGGGCUGGUUCUUGGGAAAGGAGGUUCUGAAGCAGGGGAAGGGGUUAAGAAGGGAUAUCACUCUGUGGGAGUAGCAAAUCUCUCCACUGGCUUCCUCACAUGUUAAUAAAAGUUCCAUUCUUCAAGGCUGCUUCACAUCCACUAUCUGAUAGGUACUUCCCCAGCCCAUGAACCAAGCAGGUUAUGAAUACAUCCUAGUGUCAUAAGAGGAUGGCAGGAGGGGGAUUUUCCUUUAAAGUCCUAUGGAAACCGAAGUCCUUGGUCAACAGUUUUAAACCCUUCUAAGGAGAAACUCUGGAGGCCAAAGUGCUGCAAAUGUUAAAACCAUCCUAUGUGAACCUUUCUAACUUAGCCUGUCCAUGUGGGAGGUGAGUCUUAAGGGUCAACAUACAGAAAGCCCUGGGCAGGCCUGGGACAGGAUGGCUCAGGGUAAAAUUGUGCCAAGAACCUGGUACACAGAACAGUGGUCAAGGCCCUCUCAGUAGAUGACCAUAUACACCAGCACCUCCCACCUCAGUCUUGGCAUGGGGACCAAGAACAAAGCUUCUGCUUGCCAAAAGGAAAAGCCAGACAGACAAAAAUGUAGGGACCCCAGGCUUCUGUUAGGGUUAACCUAUGAUCAGCCAAGCAUGGCAAGAAGUAGGACUGUCCCCUGAGAAAAAGAGAACUCUUACAUCCCAUUUCCUUAGCCAAAGCAGUAUCUUAUUGGAAGAAAAAUUACUUAGGCCGCAUAUUUUUCCCAAUCUCAACCCACCUAUAUCUCUCACCCAUAUUAUUGCGAAGAUGGAAACUCACAUCAAGUAUUUUGAUAAUAGCUCAUCCUUGCUCAAAUCACUUCACCAAUUCUGGAUAUCCCAAGUCCUUUAAUCCUUAGGGAUUCUCAGUUUCCAUAUUUGUUUAAAAAAUUCAAA